rnacentral:rRNA from 1 species
UCGGGAAUUUUGGGCAAUGGGGGAAACCCUGACCCAGCAACGCCGCGUGAAGGAUGAAGUAUUUCGGUAUGUAAACUUCGAAAGAAUAGGAAGAAUAAAUGACGGUACUAUUUAUAAGGUCCGGCUAACUACGUGCCAGCAGCCGCGGUAAUACGUAGGGACCAAGCGUUGUUCGGAUUUACUGGGCGUAAAGGGCGCGUAGGCGGCAUGACAAGUCACUUGUGAAAUCUCCGGGCUUAACUCGGAACGGUCAGAUGAUACUGCUUUGCUAGAGUGCAGAAGGGGCAAUCGGAAUUCUUGGUGUAGCGGUGAAAUGCGUAGAUAUCAAGAGGAACACCUGAGGUGAAGACGGGUUGCUGGGCUGACACUGACGCUGAGGCGCGAAAGCCAGGGGAGCAAACGGGAUUAGAUACCCCCGUAGUCCCUGAGCGGGCUGGCAAGGCGCAU